rnacentral:tRNA from 1 species
GGGUAUAUAGCUCAGUGGCAGAGCACAUGCUUAGCAUGCAUGAGGUCCUGGGUUUAACCCUAGUACCUCCC